AAACUGUCAAGCUAGAGUCUGGGAGGGGAAGAUGGAAUUAGUUGUGUAGGGGUAAAAUCCGUAGAGAUAACUAGGAAUACCAAAAGCGAAGGCGAUCUUCUGGAACAGUACUGACGCUGAGGCGCGAAAGCGUGGGGAGCAAACAGGAUUAGAUACCCUGGUAGUCCACGCCCUAAACGAUGAAUGUUAGUCGUCGGAGGCCUAGUGUCUUCGGUGAUGCAGCUAACGCAUUAAACAUUCCGCCUGGGGAGUACGGUCGCAAGAUUAAAACUCAAAGGAAUAGACGGGGACCCGCACAAGUGGUGGAGCAUGUGGUUUAAUUCGAAGAUACGCGAAGAACCUUACCUAGCCUUGACAUAUUUGAGAAUCCGUCAGAGAUGAUGGAGUGCCUUCGGGAGCUCAUAUACAGGUGCUGCACGGCUGUCGUCAGCUCGUGUCGUGAGAUGUUGGGUUAAGUCCCGCAACGAGCGCAACCCUCGUCACUAGUUACUAACGGUUCGGCCGAGGACUCUAGUGAGACUGCCUUCGCAAGGAGGAGGAAGGUGAGGACGACGUCAAGUCAUCAUGGCCCUUACGGCUAGGGCAACACACGUGCUACAAUGGCCAGGACAGUGAGAAGCGAUACCGCGAGGUGGAGCAAAUCUAUAAACCUGGUCUCAGUUCGGAUUGUAGUCUGCAACUCGACUACAUGAAGCUGGAAUCACUAGUAAUCGUAGAUCAGCUAUGCUACGGUGAAUACGUUCCCGGGUCUUGUACUCACCGCCCGUCACACCAUGGGAGUUGAUUUCACCCGAAGCGGGGAAGCUAAACUGGCUACCCUCCACGGUGGAAUUAGCGACUGGGGUGAAGUCGUAACAAGGUAAC
rnacentral:rRNA from 1 species